AGGACAGUAGCUCAAUUGGCAGAGCAAUCGUCUCCAAAACGAUAGGCUGCGGGUUCAAUUCCUGCCUGUCCUG
rnacentral:tRNA from 1 species